rnacentral:rRNA from 1 species
GACGAACGCUGGCGGCGUGCUUAACACAUGCAAGUCGAGCGGUAAGGCCCCUUCGGGGGUACACGAGCGGCGAACGGGUGAGUAACACGUGGGUGACCUGCCCUCAGCUCUGGGAUAAGCCUGGGAAACUGGGUCUAAUACCGGAUAUGACUCCAUGACGCAUGUCGUGGGGUGGAAAGCCUUGUGCGGCUGGGGAUGGGCCCGCGGCCUAUCAGCUUGUUGGUGGGGUGAUGGCCUACCAAGGCGACGACGGGUAGCCGGCCUGAGAGGGCGACCGGCCACACUGGGACUGAGACACGGCCCAGACUCCUACGGGAGGCAGCAGUGGGGAAUCUUGCGCAAUGGGCGAAAGCCUGACGCAGCGACGCCGCGUGAGGAUGACGGCCUGGUGU